rnacentral:rRNA from 1 species
UGGGGAAUAUUGCACAAUGGGCGCAAGCCUGAUGCAGCCAUGCCGCGUGUAUGAAGAAGGCCUUCGGGUUGUAAAGUACUUUCAGCGGGGAGGAAGGUGUUGUGGUUAAUAACCGCAACGAUUGACGUUACUCGCAGAAGAAGCACCGGCUAACUCCGUGCCAGCAGCCGCGGUAAUACGGAGGGUGCAAGCGUUAAUCGGAAUUACUGGGCGUAAAGCGCACGCAGGCGGUCUGUCAAGUCGGAUGUGAAAUCCCCGGGCUCAACCUGGGAACUGCAUCCGAAACUGGCAGGCUAGAGUCUUGUAGAGGGGGGUAGAAUUCCAGGUGUAGCGGUGAAAUGCGUAGAGAUCUGGAGGAAUACCGGUGGCGAAGGCGGCCCCCUGGACAAAGACUGACGCUCAGGUGCGAAAGCGUGGGGAGCAAACA